CAACCGUUGAACAUUAUUACCAUCUCACCUACCAUUGGAAAUAUAUGACAAUAUUUGACCUUUAUGAUGACCUAUUUCACUAAACCCAUUUAGUGAACUUAUUUUUAUUUUACACUUAUACAACAUCUUUAUGGUGGAAAUUCUACAUUAAUAUUGGACUGUAAUGGUAAUCGUAGUUUUUUUGUGUUUUUAGGAACAAUUAACGCUGCACCAAGAGGGGAUCUUUGAGUUGCCUUUUACAUAGUUUCAUCAGUUUUACUGUUAUGUGCUAUGGGUUUUUUUCCAAAGUUGUAAAACAUAUUGUAUGCAACUUUUGUCCACACAAGAACUAUUCUUGACACGAUAGUGCAUGUUUUACUAUAUGAGUGACACACAGGAUGCUGGUUCAUUUCCUGUGGACUUAUCUUGACAGGAUGGUCUGACCCCACUCCACAAUUUAUGGACUGAACUGAAACAGAUAACACCCAUUUCUGUAUGAAGUCAGUUGGUGAGUUGUUGUGAGUGUUUUGUGUCAGAUGUCUGUAGUGUGACAGAGCAGAGGACUAAUUGUGGUAACUUCUCUGCUGAUUACAAUGUAUUGGUAAAGAAAUAAAAUGAGUAAAACUAUCACUUUGUUUGAAUAGAUUUGACAGCUAGCACUUUUUUAAUGUGUCACCUCUGCAUAUUGUUUGUGUGUGUAUAAGACAGAGAGACAAAGAAAGUGUUCUGGUAGAACUUAUGAUUAAUUGGUGAGUCACACAGUUAAAAUGAGACCCAGUCAGUGAUGUCAGCUUACACCCCCUUGAAUUUAGGGGCAAAAAGGAAAUAAAUUGUCAACUUGGCACAGUUUACCAAGUAAAUUGCAAUUGAUUGCUGAUGUCAUAUUUUUCUCUUUAAAGGUAUAGUGUGCAACAUGAGUCAUUUAUAUCUUCAGAGGCAGCAGAGGCCGCUAUGUUGAACCGCUAACCAGAACAUAAAAAACCAAGAUUUGGCCAGAGGAGGUCGUGGUGAAGACUUCUUGUAGCUGCAGCUGCAGAUGUCUCCAGUCACUGAACCCUGCGGAGGGAGCUGCGUCAAGUCAGACAGAUGGAGCUAGAGUUAUACCGGAAGUGUGACAAUGCGGUCUUCAAAAUAAAACCGAAAGUUGUGAUCUUGGCUUCUAUUAGUAUCCUUGUAUUUUUUGGUUAUAUAAUAAAUGUUAUUGCAGCUA